AGUGAACGCUGGCGGUAGGCCUAACACAUGCAAGUCGAACGGCAGCACAGUAAGAGCUUGCUCUUACGGGUGGCGAGUGGCGGACGGGUGAGGAAUACAUCGGAAUCUACUCUUUCGUGGGGGAUAACGUAGGGAAACUUACGCUAAUACCGCAUACGACCUACGGGUGAAAGCAGGGGAUCUUCGGACCUUGCGCGAUUGAAUGAGCCGAUGUCGGAUUAGCUAGUUGGCGGGGUAAAGGCCCACCAAGGCGACGAUCCGUAGCUGAUCUGAGAGGAUGAUCAGCCACACUGGAACUGAGACACGGUCCAGACUCCUACGGGAGGCAGCAGUGGGGAAUAUUGGACAAUGGGCGCAAGCCUGAUCCAGCCAUACCGCGUGGGUGAAGAAGGCCUUCGGGUUGUAAAGCCCUUUUGUUGGGAAAGAAAAGCAGCAGGUUAAUACCCCGCUGUUCUGACGGUACCCAAAGAAUAAGCACCGGCUAACUUCGUG
rnacentral:rRNA from 1 species